rnacentral:rRNA from 1 species
CGGGACGGGUGAGUAACGCGUGGGUAACCGGCCUCAUACAGGGGGAUAACAGUUAGAAAUAGGCUGCUAAUACCGCAUAAGACCACAGUACUGGCAUGGUACAGUGGUAAAAACUCCGGUGGUAUGAGAUGGACCCGCGUCUGAUUAGGUAGUUGGUGAGGUAACGGCCCACCAAGCCGACGAUCAGUAGCCGACCUGAGAGGGUGACCGGCCACAUUGGGACUGAGACACGGCCCAG